GCUCGGAUGGUGUAGUGGUAUCAUUCAUGCUUCGGAUGCAUGAGGUCCCGGGUUCAAAUCCCGGUUCGAGCC
rfam:Lichtheimia corymbifera JMRC:FST:9682, FST 9682, WGS project CBTN01000000 data, contig: SCAF00001